rnacentral:rRNA from 1 species
CGAGCACGCGCGUGUGGCAUAUCAAUAAGCGGAGGAAAAGAAACUAACAAGGAUUCCCUUAGUAACGGCGAGUGAAGCGGGAAGAGCUCAAAUUUGAAAUCUUCAAGGUUCUACCUUGACGAAUUGUAGUUUAUAGAAGUGUUUUCUGUUAGUAGGAGUGGCAAAAGUUCUUUGGAAUAGGACAUCAUAGAGGGUGAGAGUCCCGUAUUUGGUCAUUCCUUCCUAGCGUUGUGAUACACUUUCAACGAGUCGGAUUGUUUGGGAAUGCAGUCCAAAAUGGGUGGUAAAUUUCAUCUAAAGCUAAAUAUUGGCGAGAGACCGAUAGCGAACAAGUACCGUGAGGGAAAGAUGAAAAGAACUUUGAAAAGAGAGUUAAACAGUACGUGAAAUUGUCAAAAGGGAAGCGUUUGACACCAGUGUUGUUUUUCCGAAAAUCAAUUACGAAUGUCUUUGUUUUUGAGGAGUUAUGACUUCAUCGGCUUGCUCCUUUCUUUACGAAACUUUCUUAAUGCACUUUUCGGUUAACAAGUCAACAUCAAUUUCUUUUGUUGUAAAAGGGUAUGAGGAAGGUGGCUUUCUUUUCGGAGAAAGUGUUUAUAGCCUUGUGCCUCUGCAAUCGGAGAGAUUGAGGUCUGCAGCGUAGAUCCUUCGGGGUUAGAUACGUUUGUGCUAAGUUAUAGCUUUUCAUAGACAACUUGUUGACUACUGUUUAGUCUUGUAGCUUACUCGCUUACUGCUAUUUUACCUACGCUUAGGAUGUUGAUGUGAUACUGCGAGCA